UUCUGCCCUCAAACUCCAUCUCCCAACAUGCCGCGGGCCCUUCCGCCACUCUGACUCUUGGACUUUCGGAAGUGUGGUUUAUACUGCGUUCCAGUCCCAGAAGAUCCUACCCGUGAACUACAUCGCCCAUGCAGCCAUGCUUUGGCAGUGCCUGUGGGAUUUGCUGCAGCCUUCGUGUUUGCAGUGAUGGGAACCAGAAGCUGACCUGAAGUCGAGUGGAGCAGUGGCAGAUGCUGGAAUGGGGGUUGAGGGGGACGAUGGCGACCGUGCGACGUCUCCUUCCGCUACUCAGAUUCCUGCCGCUUAGAGUCUGUGGAGAAGCCUUAACCCACGCAGAGGAGACUGAGGCCCCAUGAAGCAGUGGUGACAGUAAACCACAACCACUAGGUGGCUAGGAGCCAGGACCGCCCCAAAAGCCAGAGUGCAGCGGGGUGGCCUCCUCGAGUAGCGCACGCGCAAAUGAGGGGCCUCGCGGCCUCCGUAAAUACCAAAGGGCGCCUGCGCAGUUGGAACGUCUCAGGAUGGUCGCGCGAGGGCGCCUUAGGAAAGAUAACAGCAAUCAGCAGUGAUGAAGCGGUGCAAUCAUCAUCCCUCUGUAGUUUAUGGUUUGCAAAACACAGCCCUUUUUAUUGCCUCCCCUCAUUUGAUCCUCACAUUAUCCUAUUACAAAUGAGACAAGUCAGACAAAACCAGAGCCCCAGCGUCACAGAGUGUAACGGCCCAGAGAAGGAUCGGGAAGAUCCCAGAACUAGCACAAUCUCUGUGGUUGGCUUGCUGUGUGACUUGGGAUGAGCAAGAACUCCAGCCCAGGAACAAUGGCCCCUUUAUGGCAGCCGACAGACACAACUUUCUUUUUCAGUUUCUUUAAUCUCAAAGGUGGGUCUUCACUGUCCUGACUCAGAACGGUUUUCUUUCGCCUCCUGGAAGUAGAGAGGCCUCUGGGGAGAGAUCAGGAUCACUCUUUGGGUGUUGGGAGAGAUCAAGGGUCCACUCCAGAAACCCCCAAGCUGUUACUGUUGCUGAGGCUUUGUUGGCCUGAGUGCUGUGGGUAGACCCGGGGUCCUUGG
ensembl:lncRNA